AACCAGGGAGAGAAUAAAACAUGUGGGAUGGCGGGCCUCCAGGGAGCUUUGGACACCCCUGGUCUAGGGCUUAUGGUUUUCUGUCAAGGUCCUUCAGACCAACGCUGAGUGUCUCACAAAGAUAGGAAGUUUUUCUCCACCAUUCUGUCUGACACAGAGAGAGCACAGGUGCAGGUAAUUAAUUACCAUAGCAACAGAGCCCAGACAGGGGCAGAGAGCGGUCUCGCAAUGCAUUGUGGGAAAAAUAAAUAUUUCCUGGGACUAUUUCUAUUUCGCUUACAUAAAUUUAUUCCUCAGAAUUUCUGAAUGUGAAUUAAAAUCCUGAAUAUGAAGGUUGAAAAUUUGCUAAAAGAAACAAUUCUCCUCUGUCUUUAUUUUUUUUUAUUUAUUUCGAACCGUGAGAUGUGCUCCUGGCUCUGACCAGGCCUGGUUUGUCCAGCCUGGAGGAGGUCAGGUCUGCAUGGACAUGUUCCUGGUUUAGCAUCACAACACUGGGUCCAAACUGAGCACGCUUUGGCAGGCCCCGGUUAAGUUUCUUCAGGAAUUUAGUUCAGUUCUGCAAUGGGCCGGAACCAAGCCGUUUGUCUGGUCCAGGUGUGUUGAGCAGAGCUGCAGAACGGUAGCCCUUGAGGACUGGACUGGGAGACCCUGGAUCUUAGCAUCAAAGCUAAGCUAACACCUUCGGAGACAACAUGAUGUUAAAAUCUCCCAAAAACAAUCUGAUCAAUAUUUACCAAUAAAUCAGAUUUAAACUUCAGUGAGAAACAAAACAGACUGCAGCUGGUGGCUGGGGUCAAAGUUCACAGCUUUAUUCACCAGUCCAAGAGUCCAAUUAGUACCAGUUCAGAACCAGACCUGGUCCUGUCUGUUUGCAGACCCAUCGGUACCACUCAGCGGUUCUGGUCCAGAACCAACACAGAAAGUGAGGUCAUAGGUCACAGCUUCUGUUCGUCUCCAUGGCAUCUUGAUGAUCCCGCUGCAGGUCAGAGGUCGCUUCCAGGUUGUUUGAAUCGGAGCAGGAUGUUGUGUGGAGCCCUUCA